AGUGAACGCUGGCGGUAGGCCUAACACAUGCAAGUCGAACGGCAGCACAGGAGAGCUUGCUCUCUAGGUGGCGAGUGGCGGACGGGUGAGGAAUACAUCGGAAUCUGCCCAGUCGUGGGGGAUAACGUAGGGAAACUUACGCUAAUACCGCAUACGACCUUCGGGUGAAAGAGGGGGAUCGCAAGACCUCUCGCGAUUGGAUGAGCCGAUGUCGGAUUAGCUAGUUAGCGGGGUAAUGGCCCACCAAGGCGACGAUCCGUAGCUGGUCUGAGAGGAUGAUCAGCCACACUGGAACUGAGACACGGUCCAGACUCCUACGGGAGGCAGCAGUGGGGAAUAUUGGACAAUGGGCGCAAGCCUGAUCCAGCCAUACCGCGUGGGUGAAGAAGGCCUUCGGGUUGUAAAGCCCUUUUGUUGGGAAAGAAAUCUUUCAGGCUAAUACCCUGGGAGGAUGACGGUACCCAAAGAAUAAGCACCGGCCAACUUCGUG
rnacentral:rRNA from 1 species